rnacentral:rRNA from 1 species
UGCCCUAGUAACGGCGAGUGAAGCGGCAACAGCUCAAAUUUGAAAUCUGGCUCUCGGGCCCGAGUUGUAAUUUGUAGAGGAUACUUUUGAUGCGGUGCCUUCCGAGUUCCCUGGAACGGGACGCCAUAGAGGGUGAGAGCCCCGUCUGGUUGGAUGCCAAAUCUCUGUAAAGUUCCUUCAACGAGUCGAGUAGUUUGGGAAUGCUGCUCUAAAUGGGAGGUAUAUGUCUUCUAAAGCUAAAUACCGGCCAGAGACCGAUAGCGCACAAGUAGAGUGAUCGAAAGAUGAAAAGCACUUUGAAAAGAGAGUUAAAAAGUACGUGAAAUUGUUGAAAGGGAAGCGUUUAUGACCAGACUUGGGCUUGGUUAAUCAUCUGGGGUUCUCCCCAGUGCACUUUUCCAGUCCAGGCCAGCAUCAGUUUUCCCCGGGGGAUAAAGGCGGCGGGAAUGUGGCUCUCUUCGGGGAGUGUUAUAGCCCACCGUGUAAUACCCUGGGGGGGACUGAGGUUCGCGCAUCUGCAAGGAUGCUGGCGUAAUGGUCAUCAACGACCCGUCUUGAAACACGGACCCAGGAGUCGUCUUCGUAUGCGAGUGUUCGGGUGUCAAA